rnacentral:rRNA from 1 species
AGAGUUUGAUCCUGGCUCAGAACGAACGCUGGCGGCAGGCCUCAAACAUGCAAGUCUAGGGGGUGUAGCAAUACAUCACCGGCGGACGGGUGCGUAACACGUGGGAAUAUACCUUUCGGUACGGAACAACUGAGGGAAACUUCAGCUAAUACCGUAUACGUCCUAGCGGAGAAAGAUUUAUCGCCGAAGGAUUAGCCCGCGUUCGAUUAGCUAGUUGGUGAGGUAAUGGCUCACCAAGGCGACGAUCGAUAGCUGUUCUGAGAGGAAGAUCAGCCACACUGGGACUGAGACACGGCCCAGACUCCUACGGGAGGCAGCAGUUGGGAAUCUUGGACAAUGGGGGAAACCCUGAUCCAGCCAUGCCGCGUGAGUGAUGAAGGCCUUCGGGUUGUAAAACUCUUUCGACGGGGACGAUAAUGACGGUACCCGUAGAAGAAGCUCCGGCUAACUUCGUGCCAGCAGCCGCGGUAAUACGAAGGGGGCUAGCGUUGUUCGGAAUUACUGGGCGUAAAGCGCGCGCAGGCGGCUAUCCAAGUCAGUGGUGAAAGCCCGGAGCUCAACUCCGGAACUGCCAUUGAAACUGUUUAGCUUGAGGACGAGAGAGGUGAGUGGAAUUCCCAGUGUAGAGGUGAAAUUCGUAGAUAUUGGGAAGAACACCAGUGGCGAAGGCGGCUCACUGGCUCGUUUCUGACGCUCAGGCGCGAUAGCGUGGGGAUCAAACAGGAUUAGAUACCCUAGUAGUCC